rnacentral:rRNA from 1 species
GACGAACCGAGCGAACGUUGUUCGGAAUCACUGGGCUUAAAGGGCGCGUAGGCGGGUGCUCAAGUCCGGGGUGAAAGCCCCCAGCUCAACUGGGGAAGUGCCCCGGAUACUGUGUGGCUCGAGGGAGGUAGGGGCGGAUGGAACUUCCGGUGGAGCGGUGAAAUGCGUUGAUAUCGGAAGGAACGCCGGUGGCGAAAGCGAUCCGCUGGCCCUCUACUGACGCUGAGGCGCGAAAGCCAGGGGAGCAAACGGG